rnacentral:rRNA from 1 species
AAAGUUGUUCUCAGUUCGGAUUGUAGUCUGCAACUCGACUACAUGAAGCUGGAAUCGCUAGUAAUCGUAGAUCAGCAUGCUACGGUGAAUACGUUCCCGGGUCUUGUACACACCGCCCGUCACACCACGAGAGUUUGUAACACCCGAAGCCGGUGGAGUAACCAUUUUGGAGCUAGCCGUCGAAGGUGGGACAAAUGAUUGGGGUGAAGUCGUAACAAGGUAGCCGUAUCGGAAGGUGCGGCUGGAUCACCUCCUUUCUAA